CCAUUCACAGCGGAGCAGGAAGUGACGUCAGCUGGUAAGCAAGCAGCAGAUUUUGGGUGAAAAGCUCCAGUAAAGUUUCUUCUGAUGUGAAGGAGCUGCAGACUUCUUCAUGAGUGCGCACGUGUCUGUGUUGUACUUCGCUAAGAGCGUGGAGCUGACCGGAGUCAAGGAGGAGAUCGUUGCCGUGCCGACACCAAUCAGCAGCUGGGACCUUUGGAGGCUGUUGCUACAGAGACACCCGAGACUGUCUAUCCUGCAGGAUCAGGUGGUGUUGGCGGUGCGUCAGCGGUACGUUGCCAUCGGCGACCAGGUGGUGACUCUGGGAGACGAGGACGAGGUUGCCGUGGUGCCGCCGCUCAGCGGAGGAUAGACGGAUGAUGGCUGAGUCAGAGGAGCCGAGAGACGUCUUCAAGCUGAGCUGUGAUUGGCUGUCUGUACAGGAGGUGGUCGACACCGUCAGCAGCUCUUCCUGUGGAGCUAUUUCACUUUUCAUAGGUACGACCCGUGAGGACGAGGAGG